rnacentral:rRNA from 1 species
CCUACGGGUGGCAGCAGUGAGGAAUAUUGGUCAAUGGACGCGAGUCUGAACCAGCCAAGUAGCGUGAAGGAUGACUGCCCUAUGGGUUGUAAACUUCUUUUAUAUGGGAAUAAAAGGUUCCACGUGUGGGAUUUUGUAUGUACCAUAUGAAUAAGGAAAGGCUAACGCCGUGCCAGCAGCCGCGGUAAUACGGAGGAUGCGAGCGUUAUGCGGAUUUAGUGGGUUUAAAGGGAGCGUAGGUGGAUUGGUAAGGCGUUUGUGAAAGUUUGCGGCUCAACCGUAAAAUUGCAUUUGAAACUGGCUGUCUUGAGUACAGUAGAGGUAGGCGGAAUUCCUGGUGUAGCGGUGAAAUGCUUAGAUAUCACGAAGAACACCGAUGGCGAAGGCAGCUCACUGGACUGCAACUGACGCUGAGGCGCGAAAGUGUGGGUAUCAAACAGGAUUAGAUACCCUAGUAGUC